UCCCAUCAGAAGCCACAACAGUGGCACCUAAGCCAGGUCUCCUGCUCCUCUGACCUACAUGUCCUCCAGAGUUGGGCAGCAGAGAUGGCAGGAGAGGAAGCAGAUGGCUCAGUGUGACAGAUGGGAUCCUAUCCAGUGACACAAGGACAAGGUGAGAGAAAGUGUGAUCAAGAGAAAACGCAGGCUCUGCGUGACAGCGUGUGUGCACGGGCCCCCAUGCCAGGACGUCUGUGUUCCGGCCAGCUCGCCAGGCUCAGGGCACUGGGCUGGGGCUCCAGUUUACCCAGCCCCACACCGUCACCUGACAGUGAGGAGAGUGAGGCAGAGAGGGUCACCCACCCAGUCACGCGCUUGAAGGACACCUGACUCCACACAGUCCCAGCUACACUGUGAUCAGGGGUUGCAGCGUGCUCCACUGCGAAGCUCAGCCAUCGGAAAGACAAAGCAAGUGCUGACGAAUCUGCCACCCCACCCCCUCUCCCUGCAGUUAAAAGGCGGGUCAAUUACCAUCGGCUCAUUUGUAAUCAUUACAGUUGUCUAGAGUUUUCUCUGCUGAUUGCUUGGGUUAGGAAGCCCCUAAUCAGUGGAAGGGGUGUGGGAUCUUGAGAGCGCCUUUUGUCUGCAAGCCCCAUCCAGUCUUGCCUGGAAGCUGUGGGGAAAGGAUGUCAGGAGUCCGUCUGUCCUUGGUAUCGUAUCCAGAGGCUUUGUGGAGCCUCGGAGGUUUUUCCGGGCUGACCUCUGAUGGAGGAGCUGGGGAGGUAAUCCCAUUCCGGAAAGGGACCCCUGGAAAUUUUCAUUACUAUUAAUACAUACCGUCCAUAUUUCACCGUCACCAAGGCAGGUUUUCUCACUCUUUUGACAGGAAAACAGACAGGUGGAGUCGUUUUGAUUUGGACUGCCUAGUUUCUUCCCCAGGGAAGCUGCUUCCUCUAGCUUGCAUGAUAAUUGAAUUUCACGGAUGGAAUCUUCCAUAUACUUCUCAAUUAGGCAUGUGUAUAGGCAGUGAGAUUUUUCAGGUGUUAAUCUAUGAUUGUCACCCCCUUUAUUUUAACCUUUAAAUUAAUUUUCUUAAUUUCUGCCAGCUCUAAAUCCAGCUUUGCUAAAUAGCAUGAUUCUGACUUAAAUGGUCUAACCUGUUUGUCAUAAACUGGGUACAGCUGAAAAUCGUGUAUGCGUCAGACUUCCUCAUUAAUCACAGCUGACAAGAAGUCAGAAAUGAAGAAGGCAUUUCUGCCUCUGAAGGCAAAGUGGGGAAGGAUUGGGAAACGCGGCCAACUUGGUGUGAUAGCCGAGCUGGGAGGGCAGGGGAACAGUGAGUCCCAGCUCCAUCUGGGUGACCUUGGUUAAGUCCUUGUCUCCUUGGGGCUUCACUUUCUACCCUGAAAAAAAAUGCAGGCAGGGGUGGGAUAGGGGGUUCAGAUCAGCUGAGUCCUCUGGGACCUUUUCAGCUGUAACAUUCUCUGAGCCUAUACAUGGCUUCUCAGGGAAAUGCCACCAAAGUGACAUCUCAGUAUUUAAGUGCGCAGCUGUUGUUGAGAAUACCAAGAGGAUCUACAUUCCCAAUACUUUACCAUAGCAUUCUCCAAAACGAGGAAGGCAAGAUGAUUUUAGGUAGUAAAGGGUCACAGAUUUCAGUCCCCUGGGAGUGCUGAGUCCCUAUGGAGUCUCCAUCCCCCUGAGCAGAUCUGUCUGGCACAUCGCAUCUUAAAUGCCUCCCUGAUGCUGGUGCUCCUCCCAGGUAAUCAGAGAAGGAGCAUUCUCAGACUCAAAUCCUUUGUCAGGCAGCAGAUCCAGUUAGAAUCCAACACUUGAGCACUUCCCUGGUGGUCCAGUGGUAAAGAAUCUGCCUUCCAAUGCAGGGGACGGGGGUUCGAUUCCUGGACGGGGAACUAAGAUCCCACAUG